rnacentral:rRNA from 1 species
GUUGCUGGAGGUAUCAGAAGUGCGAAUGCUGACAUAAGUAACGAUAAAGCGGGUGAAAAGCCCGCUCGCCGGAAGACCAAGGGUUCCUGUCCAACGUUAAUCGGGGCAGGGUGAGUCGACCCCUAAGGCGAGGCCGAAAGGCGUAGUCGAUGGGAAACAGGUUAAUAUUCCUGUACUUGGUGUUACUGCGAAGGGGGGACGGAGAAGGCUAUGUUGGCCGGGCGACGGUUGUCCCGGUUUAAGCGUGUAGGCUGGUUUUCCAGGCAAAUCCGGAAAACCAAGGCUGAGGCGUGAUGACGAGGCACUACGGUGCUGAAGCGACAAAUGCCCUGCUUCCAGGAAAAGCCUCUAAGCAUCAGGUAACAUCAAAUCGUACCCCAAACCGACACAGGUGGUCAGGUAGAGAAUACCAAGGCGCUUGAGAGAACUCGGGUGAAGGAACUAGGCAAAAUGGUGCCGUAACUUCGGGAGAAGGCACGCUGAUAUGUAGGUGAAGCGACUUGCUCGUGGAGCUGAAAUCAGUCGAAGAUACCAGCUGGCUGCAACUGUUUAUUAAAAACACAGCACUGUGCAAACACGAAAGUGGACGUAUACGGUGUGACGCCUGCCCGGUGCCGGAAGGUUAAUUGAUGGGGUUAGCGGUAACGCGAAGCUCUUGAUCGAAGCCCCGGUAAACGGCGGCCGUAACUAUAACGGUCCUAAGGUAGCGAAAUUCCUUGUCGGGUAAGUUCCGACCUGCACGAAUGGCGUAAUGAUGGCCAGGCUGUCUCCACCCGAGACUCAGUGAAAUUGAACUCGCUGUGAAGAUGCAGUGUACCCGCGGCAAGACGGAAAGACCCCGUGAACCUUUACUAUAGCUUGACACUGAACAUUGAGCCUUGAUGUGUAGGAUAGGUGGGAGGCUUUGAAGUGUGGACGCCAGUCUGCAUGGAGCCGACCUUGAAAUACCACCCUUUAAUGUUUGAUGUUCUAACGUUGGCCCGUAAUCCGGGUUGCGGACAGUGUCUGGUGGGUAGUUUGACUGGGGCGGUCUCCUCCUAAAGAGUAACGGAGGAGCACGAAGGUUGGCUAAUCCUGGUCGGACAUCAGGAGGUUAGUGCAAUGGCAUAAGCCAGCUUGACUGCGAGCGUGACGGCGCGAGCAGGUGCGAAAGCAGGUCAUAGUGAUCCGGUGGUUCUGAAUGGAAGGGCCAUCGCUCAACGGAUAAAAGGUACUCCGGGGAUAACAGGCUGAUACCGCCCAAGAGUUCAUAUCGACGGCGGUGUUUGGCACCUCGAUGUCGGCUCAUCACAUCCUGGGGCUGAAGUAGGUCCCAAGGGUAUGGCUGUUCGCCAUUUAAAGUGGUACGCGAGCUGGGUUUAGAACGUCGUGAGACAGUUCGGUCCCUAUCUGCCGUGGGCGCUGGAGAACUGAGGGGGGCUGCUCCUAGUACGAGAGGACCGGAGUGGACGCAUCACUGGUGUUCGGGUUGUCAUGCCAAUGGCACUGCCCGGUAGCUAAAUGCGGAAGAGAUAAGUGCUGAAAGCAUCUAAGCACGAAACUUGC